rnacentral:rRNA from 1 species
AGUGAACGCUGGCGGUAGGCCUAACACAUGCAAGUCGAACGGCAGCACAGAGGAGCUUGCUCCUUGGGUGGCGAGUGGCGGACGGGUGAGGAAUACAUCGGAAUCUACUCUGUCGUGGGGGAUAACGUAGGGAAACCUACGCUAAUACCGCAUACGACCUACGGGUGAAAGCAGGGGAUCUUCGGACCUUGCGCGAUUGAAUGAGCCGAUGUCGGAUUAGCUAGUUGGCGGGGUAAAGGCCCACCAAGGCGACGAUCCGUAGCUGGUCUGAGAGGAUGAUCAGCCACACUGGAACUGGGACACGGUCCAGACUCCUACGGGAGGCAGCAGUGGGGAAUAUUGGACAAUGGGCGCAAGCCUGAUCCAGCCAUACCGCGUGGGUGAAGAAGGCCUUCGGGUUGUAAAGCCCUUUUGUUGGGAAAGAAAUCCAUCUGGUUAAUACCCGGGUGGGAUGACGGUACCCAAAGAAUAAGCACCGGCUAACUUCGUGCCAGCCGCCGCGGUAA